rnacentral:rRNA from 1 species
UCCUAAAUGUAAAUUAAUUAUUAGUUUACCAGAGUACUACGGAUUGUAAUAAUUUAAAAUUCAAAGGACUUGGCGGUGUUUUAGACUUCUCAGGGGAACCUGUCUCGUAAUCGAUGAUCCACGUUGUACCUGGCCUCUAAAGUUGUAACGCAGUUUGUAUACCGUCGUCGUCAGGCAACCUUUAGAGGGGCUGGUAGUUGGCGCAGGAAAUAUGUUAGUUAGUACGUCAGAUCAAGGUGCAGCUGUAUGUGGGGGUGAGGAUGGGUUACAUUUAUGAUAGUUGUAAUACGGAUGAGUUUAAUUGAAAUAUUAUUUGGAAGGAGGACUUGAAAGUAAGGAUGCGGUUAGAUGGGUGUCUUGAAUGAGGCUCUGGAACGUGU